rnacentral:rRNA from 1 species
CCCUUAGAUGUUCUGGGCCGCACGCGCGCUACACUGAUACAUUCAACGAGUCUAAAACCUGGUCUGAUAGGGCUGGGUAAUCUUUUGAAUGUGCAUCGUGAUUGGGAUAGAUGAUUGCAAUUCUUCAUCUUCAACGAGGAAUGCCUAGUAAACGCAAGUCAUCAGCUUGCAUUGAUUACGUCCCUGCCCUUUGUACACACCGCCCGUCGCUCCUACCGAUUGAAUGUUCCGAUGAAUACCAUGGACUGAGAGUAUGAAUGGGUUCGCCUAUUUCUGCUUCUCGGGAAGUGGAGUAAAUCUUAACAUUUAGAGGAAGGAGAAGUCGUAACA